CACGCCCCCAUAGUCUGCCUUUUUCUAUUGGAAAGCUUGUUGCCAUGGCGAUCGUGUCUUUUGCUCGCCGCUAGAUGUAAUGGCGGCGGGGUGGUGACAGACACAAUGUGCAAUGUCAAAACAGGAAAGUUCUAUCUAUAGAAGAGCCACACCAGCAACAGAAGGCCAGGGAAAUUUGUGGCUCUACAAUCAGAACAGGAACCACAUCUAAAGAAACCGUUCAUUUGUAACCAAGUGGAAGGGUUGCAGACAGAAUGAAGGACAUCCUGCACAAAAAGAAAAACAAGCAAUAUAACAAAAUGUGUAUUAAAGUAUUUCCAUCCUUAAAAUCAAUAUUGUUUUUCAGAUGUUUAAAAAAAUAAAAUAAAAAAAUAAAAAAGACUAUCAAUAGCUUCAAUUUUAAUAAACGGUUA